AAAACAUUAAAAAAAAGUCUAAGGUAAUACAAUUAUAUUCAACUAAAAAUAAUCACAAUAAUUUGUGAUAAUCGUGUGUAAAAACUAUUUUCAACUAUUAUGUUUCACAAAAUAAUUUUGCGGAUCAGAUUGCUCUGAACGCUUGUGUGGAAAAUGUUGUUUACCAAGAAAAUGCAGCCCUGUUGGUUUUUAUUUCUGUAUCACACCGCGAUGAAGAAGUGUACACAAGGUUGGAAAAUGAGAACAUGAAGCUAAAGGAUCGAUUAGCAAUUUGGAGUAAGGUUAUUGUUGCAGAAGAAAACGCUGCAACCAUUGCAGUUGUUGCAAAAUAUGUGCCAGCAGUAGUGCCCACCGCCGUCGGUGCAAUGAGGGCUGAGCAAACGCCAUCUCCUGGGCAUUCCCACAGCUUGCUGACACCAGCUAUUAUAUCACAUGUGAAUGCAACUUCAGCUAAAUUUGAUUAUUAUCAGUGCAAUAGUAUCUUGUCUUGGGCAAAAGCACUAUAGACUGCUGGCACAAAUAAAUCGCCCAGAGAUAUAGCCAACGAAAUAAAUAAACAUGAUAUACAAUCGCCACCUGUGGUUAUGUUAAUGCAAAAAUUUAUAACAAUUUUUUUAUAUUCAAUGUAGGGAUUAUGCUGUUCGUGUGAUUUCCAACCUCUUACGGUUUGGCGUUAACCUACCAACUUGCCACAAGCAACGUAUCACAUAGAUGCACAUUGGUCAAUUACGUUUGACAAUUAUUGGAGAGUCCACUUGUCGUUUGUUAGUGUUUCUGGGGCACGAUAUUCUACGCGUCACUUAGGCGAUUGGUGAACACAUUUCGUUAUGCUGAUUGUGCACUUAGAGGACCGCUUCCCAAAUUUUCUGGACGAUUGGAGAUUUGAAAGACUUAUACAAGGAAUCAAAAAAGAGAUUUUACGAGGACGAGGAAUUCAAGAGACGUGUCUACAAUUGCAUUGUACUGCUGCAAGGCAGCGACCCUAAUCAUACUGAAUCAUGGACUCAAAUAUGUGAUGUAUCCAGUGAAGAAUUCCAUAAGUGUUAGCUUUUUCGUAGAUUUUAUGAAAACCCGGACUACUAUGGAUUCUGCGAUAGCCACCAAUAUGUAUUCUCCUUGGGCAAGAUGCUGGAGAAUCGCGGCAACACAGCCGUAUACCUACUCCAUGCUUUUACGCGCAUUUGCUAAAUUUCUUGCACCAGCCAACUUUUGACUCAACUUAUCUCCUCUAAAAUUGCCUGUAAAAUCGUCUAAUGUAAAUACCGUAUUAACAACAAAAAUGCACAGUAAAAACGUUUAGUUAUUUGAAUAAAUAAGAGUGUGCCAAUGUAAUUAAUAAGUAGUGUCUAGAUGUAACCCGGGUAUUUAGUAUAGUAAAGAUAUGUUUAUUUAAAAAUUAUAUGAUACAGAGUUUUGUGUAUGUAAUUUAAUUGUCCGGCUAUUCACUCGACCCUCUUCGCUUGCUCUCCCAGUCCUCACUUGACACUGCUUUAUUUGUAUGCUGUGUGCCUUCAGUAUG